rnacentral:rRNA from 1 species
UACGUAGGGGGCAAGCGUUGUCCGGAAUCACUGGGCGUAAAGCGCGCGCAGGCGGCGAUCUACGUCCGGGGCGAAAGCCCAGAGCUCAACUCUGGGACUGCCUUGGAUACGGGGUCGCUUGAGGAUCGGAGAGGCAAGGGGAAUUCCACGUGUAGCGGUGAAAUGCGUAGAGAUGUGGAGGAACACCUGUGGCGAAGGCGCCUUGCUGGCCGAUUUCUGACGCUGAGGCGCGAAAGCGUGGGGAGCAAGCAGG